rnacentral:rRNA from 1 species
CAGCCGCCGCGGGAAUACGAAGGGGGCUAGCGUUGUUCGGAAUUACUGGGCGUAAAGCGCACGUAGGCGGAUAUUUAAGUCAGGGGUGAAAUCCCAGAGCUCAACUCUGGAACUGCCUUUGGUACUGGGUAUCUUGAGUAUGGAAGAGGUUAGUGGAAUUGCGAGUGUAGAGGUGAAAUUCGUAGAUAUUCGGAAGAACACCAGUGGCGAAGGCGACAUACUGGCUCAUUACUGACGCUGAGGCUCGAAAGCGUGGGGAGCAAACAGGAUUAGAUACCCGAGUAGUCCCUGUCUCUUAUAC